GUCUGCGUGGAGCCGACCUUGAAAUACCACCCUUUAAUGUUUGAUGUUCUAACGUGGACCCGUUACCCGGGUUGCGGACAGUGUCUGGUGGGUAGUUUGACUGGGGCGGUCUCCUCCUAAAGAGUAACGGAGGAGCACGAAGGUUGGCUAAUCCUGGUCGGACAUCAGGAGGUUAGUGCAAUGGCAUAAGCCAGCUUGACUGCGAGCGUGACGGCGCGAGCAGGUGCGAAAGCAGGUCAUAGUGAUCCGGUGGUUCUGAAUGGAAGGGCCAUCGCUCAACGGAUAAAAGGUACUCCGGGGAUAACAGGCUGAUACCGCCCAAGAGUUCAUAUCGACGGCGGUGUUUGGCACCUCGAUGUCGGCUCAUCACAUCCUGGGGCUGAAGUAGGUCCCAAGGGUAUGGCUGUUCGCCAUUUAAAGUGGUACGCGAGCUGGGUUUAGAACGUCGUGAGACAGUUCGGUCCCUAUCUGCCGUGGGCGCUGGAGAACUGAGGGGGGCUGCUCCUAGUACGAGAGGACCGGAGUGGACGCAUCACUGGUGUUCGGGUUGUCAUGCCAAUGGCACUGCCCGGUAGCUAAAUGCGGAAGAGAUAAGUGCUGAAAGCAUCUAAGCACGAAACUUGCCCCGAG
rnacentral:rRNA from 1 species